AACGAACGCUGGCGGCAUGCCUAACACAUGCAAGUCGAACGAGACCUUCGGGUCUAGUGGCGCACGGGUGCGUAACGCGUGGGAACCUGCCCUUAGGUUCGGAAUAACUCCCCGAAAGGGGUGCUAAUACCGGAUAACGUCUUCGGACCAAAGAUUUAUCGCCUUUGGAUGGGCCCGCGUUGGAUUAGCUAGUUGGUAGGGUAAAAGCCUACCAAGGCGACGAUCCAUAGCUGGUCUGAGAGGAUGAUCAGCCACACUGGGACUGAGACACGGCCCAGACUCCUACGGGAAGCAGCAGUGGGGAAUAUUGGACAAUGGGCGAAAGCCUGAUCCAGCAAUGCCGCGUGAGUGAUGAAGGCCUUAGGGUUGUAAAGCUCUUUUACCCGGGAUGAUAAUGACAGUACCGGGAGAAUAAGCUCCGGCUAACUCCGUG
rnacentral:rRNA from 1 species